rnacentral:lncRNA from 1 species
AUUAGGCAAGGGAAUACGAUGUGAAACUAAAUAAAAUUUUCUUGCUUGAAUAAUGGUUACAGAUUUAUGAAUUAGUAGUGAAUUAAGAAGUUCUGGUUGUUAUAUAAUUAAGGAUACAUGUAACGGCCCCGGAAAUUUAAAUGAAAUAUAUGUAUUAAAAAUGUCAAAUGCGGAAGUGUAAUAAAAAUUUUGACUAAUAUCCCUUACACAAUAACCAAAACGUACUCAAAAUAUGAAAUUACAAACUAACUAAGAGAGAAACUCGAAAAUAAAAACUAUAAAUAUAACUACGGAGUCUUUAGGCGUCCCCUUCGCCGUCUUCCUGCGGAACGGGUUAGGGAACAAUGUCUUCCUGAUCUGAAAUGGUUAAAUAAGGAGUGAGCUACACCAGCCCAGUAAAGACAUCACACUAUCUCACCGCCACGGAAGUAAAGGUGGGUAGAAAACUUAAAAGACUAAUGGAGCAUAAUUUAUAGUAAACUCGUUUAUUAACAUGAAAACCUUUACUGUCCACUUACCUCGGUGAAGUUCAUAAAACAACAUGUGAAAACAAUAACAUUAUCAUCAUCAUGAAAUCAUAUGAACUGUAUAAAAAAAUACUUACCACGCCUUUGCAUUUCAAUCAUUACACAACAUAUUUUCCUCAUUUACCAGCCUACUAGUAUCCAUGGGGAUCCAUAGGGGUCCCGCUACCCUUGAACCCUUAACAUUUGUAAUCAGAUUCCAGGGCCGUCCCCAUACACCGUCCGGUAUGGGCGCCAAAACCAUAAACCUCAAUACCCCG